rnacentral:rRNA from 1 species
GCGGACGGGUGAGUAAUGCUUGGGAAUCUGGCUUAUGGAGGGGGAUAACUACGGGAAACUGUAGCUAAUACCGCGUAGUAUCGAGAGAUGAAAGACUGGGACCGCAAGGCCAGUUGCCAUAAGAUGAGCCCAAGUGGGAUUAGGUAGUUGGUGGGGUAAAGGCCUACCAAGCCGACGAUCUCUAGCUGGUCUGAGAGGAUGACCAGCCACACUGGAACUGAGACACGGUCCAGACUCCUACGGGAGGCAGCAGUGGGGAAUAUUGCACAAUGGGGGGAACCCUGAUGCAGCCAUGCCGCGUGAAUGAAGAAGGCCUUCGGGUUGUAAAGUUCUUUCGGUGAUGAGGAAGGGUGGUGUUUUAAUAGAACAUUACAUUGACGUUAGUCACAGAAGAAGCACCGGCUAACUCCGUGCCAGCAGCCGCGGUAAUACGGAGGGUGCGAGCGUUAAUCGGAAUGACUGGGCGUAAAGGGCACGCAGGCGGUGACUUAAGUGAGAUGUGAAAGCCCCGAGCUUAACUUGGGAAUUGCAUUUCAUACUGGGUUGCUAGAGUAUUUUAGGGAGGGGUAGAAUUCCACGUGUAGCGGUGAAAUGCGUAGAGAUGUGGAGGAAUACCGAAGGCGAAGGCAGCCCCUUGGGAAAAUACUGACGCUCAUGUGCG